rnacentral:rRNA from 14 species
UUUGAAGGAUAUUCAAGAAAACGUGAAAUCGCUGGAGUGGAACGGAGAGAGUUGAUGUUGCUCGGAGAGAGUUUUGGUGGCUGGUCGCCAGUUGUGAUCGUCGCCGGAUGUCGUUUCCCUGCUACGCCGACGGCGUUGGUCGCUCGUUCCGGCCCGAUAGUGUUGCCCAGCUCGCAAGAGUCGGUGUCCCGUUAUCGGUCGUUGGUUCGUGGUGGCUAGCGUUUAGUUACGCUAGUGUGUGUGACGUCGGUGUGAAAGUCGACGACGUUUCCGACCCGUCUUGAAACACGGAUUGCGGAGUGCUUGUCUACUGCGAGUCAAAGGGUGUUAAAACCUUGCGGCGAAAUGAAAGUGAAGGUCAGUCUUGAAUUGGCCGACGUGGGAUCGGUGCUCCUCGGAGUGCUGCGCACCACGGCCCUGUGCGUGUCACUUGUGACUGUGCAGAGGUUGAGCAGUUGGCAAACGACCCGAAAGAUGGUGAACUAUGCCUGAGCAGGAUGAAGCCAGAGGAAACUCUGGUGGAAGUCCGUAUCGGUUCUGACGUGCAAAUCGAUCGAUAGACUUGGGUAUAGGGGCGAAAGACUAAUCGAACCAUCUAGUA